CGGCAACAGCUCAAAUUUGAAAUCCGGCGCCCCCAGCGGGCGCCCGAGUUGUAAUUUGCAGAGGAUGCUUCGGGCGACGCGCCUUCCAAGUCACCUAGAACGGUGCGCCGAGGAGGGUGAGAGCCCCGUACGGUUGGACGCCUAGCCCUUGUGAAGCUCCUUCGAC
rnacentral:rRNA from 1 species